rnacentral:rRNA from 1 species
CCCCUAGACGUUCUGGGCUGCACGCGCGCUACAAUAAUACGCACAGCGAGCAUCACCGAGCUCGAAAGGGCAAGGUAAACAAUAGAAAAGGUACUGUAAUGGUUAUAGAUCCUUGUAAUUAUUGAUCUUCAACGAGGAAUUCCUAGUAAGUAUGUGUCAUCAUCACGCACUGAUUACGUCCCUGCCCUUUGUACACACCGCCCGUCGCUCCUACCGAUUGAGUGAGCCGAUGAAACUGCCGGAUGUGGACUAUUCAUAGUCUGCAGAAGAUGUUUGAAUCGUAGCGCUUAGAGGAAGGAGAAGUCGUAACA